rnacentral:rRNA from 1 species
CAGGCUUAACACAUGCAAGUCGAGGGGCAGCAUGGUCUUAGCUUGCUAAGGCCGAUGGCGACCGGCGCACGGGUGAGUAACACGUAUCCAACCUGCCGUCUACUCUUGGACAGCCUUCUGAAAGGAAGAUUAAUACAAGAUGGCAUCAUGAGUCCACAUGUUCACAUGAUUAAAGGUAUUCCGGUAGACGAUGGGGAUGCGUUCCAUUAGAUAGUAGGCGGGGUAACGGCCCACCUAGUCUUCGAUGGAUAGGGGUUCUGAGAGGAAGGUCCCCCACAUUGGAACUGAGACACGGUCCAAACUCCUACGGGAGGCAGCAGUGAGGAAUAUUGGUCAAUGGGCGAGAGCCUGAACCAGCCAAGUAGCGUGAAGGAUGACUGCCCUAUGGGUUGUAAACUUCUUUUAUAAAGGAAUAAAGUCGGGUAUGCAUACCCGUUUGCAUGUACUUUAUGAAUAAGGAUCGGCUAACUCCGUGCCAGCAGCCGCGGUAAUACGGAGGAUCCGAGCGUUAUCCGGAUUUAUUGGGUUUAAAGGGAGCGUAGAUGGAUGUUUAAGUCAGUUGUGAAAGUUUGCGGCUCAACCGUAAAAUUGCAGUUGAUACUGGAUAUCUUGAGUGCAGUUGAGGCAGGCGGAAUUCGUGGUGUAGCGGUGAAAUGCUUAGAUAUCACGAAGAACUCCGAUUGCGAAGGCAGCCUGCUAAGCUGCAACUGACAUUGAGGCUCGAAAGUGUGGGUAUCAAACAGGAUUAGAUACCCUGGUAGUCCACACGGUAAACGAUGAAUACUCGCUGUUUGCGAUAUACAGCAAGCGGCCAAGCGAAAGCGUUAAGUAUUCCACCUGGGGAGUACGCCGGCAACGGUGAAACUCAAAGGAAUUGACGGGGGCCCGCACAAGCGGAGGAACAUGUGGUUUAAUUCGAUGAUACGCGAGGAACCUUACCCGGGCUUAAAUUGCAGAUGAAUUACGGUGAAAGCCGUAAGCCGCAAGGCAUCUGUGAAGGUGCUGCAUGGUUGUCGUCAGCUCGUGCCGUGAGGUGUCGGCUUAAGUGCCAUAACGAGCGCAACCCUUGUUGUCAGUUACUAACAGGUCAUGCUGAGGACUCUGACAAGACUGCCAUCGUAAGAUGUGAGGAAGGUGGGGAUGACGUCAAAUCAGCACGGCCCUUACGUCCGGGGCUACACACGUGUUACAAUGGGGGGUACAGAGGGCCGCUACCACGCGAGUGGAUGCCAAUCCCAAAAACCUCUCUCAGUUCGGACUGGAGUCUGCAACCCGACUCCACGAAGCUGGAUUCGCUAGUAAUCGCGCAUCAGCCACGGCGCGGUGAAUACGUUCCCGGGCCUUGUACACACCGCCCGUCAAGCCAUGGGAGCCGGGGGUACCUGAAGUGCGUAACCGCGAGGAGCGCCCUAGGGUAAAACUGGUGACUGGGGCUAA